rnacentral:sRNA from 1 species
AGCCGCCAGACGGGCGCGGCCGGUGCGCGACAUCUUCCGGCGCGCCACCCGCGCCCACCUGACGACUGCUCGCUACGUUCUGUUGGCC